GGCGGGACUGCGCGGCGGCAACAGCAGACAUGUCGGGGGUCCGGGGCCUGUCGCGGCUGCUGAGCGCUCGGCGCCUGGCGCUGGCCAAGGCGUGCACUGACACAGCUUGCAAACUGUUCGAAAGCAGUUUAAUCAGAGGAAAAAGAAAACCAAGAAACUUCAAUAGUUACUGGUUAACUGCUUACUUCAGUGGCCAACAGUGUUGCAAACAGGAACCCGAGGUUUUCACUUCACUGUUGAUGGGAACAAGAGGGCAUCUGCUAAAGUUUCAGAUUCCAUUUCUGCUCAGUAUCCAGUAGUGGAUCAUGAAUUUGAUGCAGUGGUGGUAGGCGCUGGAGGGGCAGGCUUGCGAGCUGCAUUUGGCCUUUCUGAGGCAGGGUUUAAUACAGCAUGUGUUACCAAGCUGUUUCCUACCAGGUCACACACUGUUGCAGCACAGGGAGGAAUCAAUGCUGCUCUGGGGAACAUGGAGGAGGACAACUGGAGGUGGCAUUUCUACGACACCGUGAAGGGCUCCGACUGGCUGGGGGACCAGGAUGCCAUCCACUACAUGACGGAGCAGGCCCCCGCCGCCGUGGUCGAG
rnacentral:lncRNA from 1 species